UGUCCGAGAAGGGGAUGGUGGAGGGACAGUUGCCGAGGCUCGUGCCGAUUUGGGGCGAGUUUCCUCCGUCUACUGGCGAGGAUCACUUUACGUGCUUUCCCAAUAUAAUUUCAUUACGAGAAUAUCUUUGUCUGAAGACAAGUACAGUGUGAUCAAGCCACCAAUGGGUAUUGGAUGGAGCAGCUAUAUAGGAUUAUCCGAGAAAGGAGUGUACUGUGCAUCGUUUGUUGAGAAUAAGCACAUUCUGGUCUGCACCCUCAGUGAAUCGUGUGAUAAAUUCGACUGGAUAUUGAAGCACGAGUAUGACCUUAAACCCGUGGAAAUGUUUGAUCGCCAAGUUCAUGGACCCUGGAUCUUAGAAGACAUUAACUAUGAAAUCUUCGGUCCUCAUCUACCAAACAUCAAUAAGGAAGAAGUAAUUCAAGAGCAAUUUGAAUGGAACUCCGACGACGACAAUAUUCAUGACAACUCAGGCAUGGUUGAAGACCACCGUCAUCCAUAUUUUGAGAUCGAGAUACUAGGAUUCCACCCGUACAAAGAGAUUCUCUUUUUGAGUAGGUCGGAGACCUUCAAAUUAAAAGCAAUGGCGUUUGCCUAUCAUUUGAAUAGCUUCAAGGUUGAAAGUUUAGGAAGCAUAUACCCAAGUUGUCACAAAUAUUUCGACUCGGGCCUUGCUAAUGAAGCUCGGGAGAUCGAAUCUUUUCCAUACACACCAUGUUUUGGAUCGAAGAGAUCCCAGAAAGAGUAAAUUAAACUAGGUGCUCCGUCUCAAACAUGUUCAUGUAUAUGUUGUUUUUUAUUUGGAUCGUUUUGGGUCUGAUAGUGUAGCUAUAGAUCAUUCUUCAAUUAUUACUACUGUCA